UAAGGAGCAGGACUGAUCAGCAGCUGCAUGAGAAAUCCUCUUCAAGGAAAGUUGCAGACAGUAAGCUCAGCAGGAGCAGAACUCCUCAAGGUGGUAUACACAGCUGCAUGAACUGGACUCUCUUAGAACUGGACACUGUCCUAAUACAACCUGUGAGCUCCAAAGCUCAGCAACAACCCACUCUCUGCAGCCUCUUCCUGCAUCUGCAACUGUUCCUGUUGCACAGAUUUGACACUUGCCUCUUUAGACAGUGGACCCUCCCCCAUCAAAAUACAACACCCCCCCCCAAAUGCCUCAAACCCAAGAACU